GCACUGGUUGGUGUAAGGGUACACGCGCUGAUGAGAUCACACAUGAAGAUGUCAAGCGGCGAGUCGGGGUUCGAUUCCCUGCUGGUGCA